rnacentral:sRNA from 1 species
AACACAAACAAUGAAU